UCCCUGGAGGACUAGCGGUUAGGCCACAGUGCUCUCACCGCUGCGGCCCGGGUUCGAUUUUGGGCCAGGGAA
rnacentral:tRNA from 1 species